rnacentral:rRNA from 1 species
CCUACGGGGGGCAGCAGUGGGGAAUAUUGCACAAUGGGGGAAACCCUGAUGCAGCGACGCCGCGUGAGUGAGGAAGUAUUUCGGUAUGUAAAGCUCUAUCAGCAGGGAAGAAAAUAACGGUACCUGCUUAAGAAGCCCCGGCUACCGACGUGCCAGCAGCCGCGGUAAUACGUAGGGGGCAAGCGUUAUCCGGAUUUACUGGGUGUAAAGGGAGCGUAGACGGAUGUGCAAGUCUGGUGUGAAAAGCCGGGGCCAAACCCCCGAAGUGCAUUGGAAACUGUAUGUCUAGAGUGUAGGAGAGGCAAGUGGAAUUCCUGGUGUAGCGGUGAAAUGCGUAGAUAUCAGGAGGAACACCAGUGGCGAAGGCGGCUUGCUGGACGAUAACUGACGUUGAGGCUCGAAAGCGUGGGGAGCAAACAGGAUUAGAUACCCGUGUAGUC